AUACAUAGUUCUCUUAUAUUAUAUGUUCAACUACAUCAUUAUAUAGUAAUACUCUACUCUAAAAAUAAAAUCACAAUAUAACUUUCUUAUUUUAUACUUCGUAGAAAAUAAAAUGAUCACAACAUAACUCUCUUAUAUUACCGUGGGGUGAGAUAUUAUUAGCCAUUAAGUAUUUGUUUCAAAGAAAUAGAGUACUCACAGCUAUUCAAACUAUCUCUCUCUAUUUUCAUCUAUAUAUGGGAAGGGGAUAAGUGAGAACCCACAACCCACCCAUAAACGCACGACCCCCCACCCCAACCCCUGCCGUCUUCUUCACCAUCAAUCUGCGCAACCAUCAUAAUCGCUCGACACACAGAUGUAAAUGAGAAUAAUUGGAGAUAGAGGAAGAAUUUUCGGUCAAUUAAAGCUCUCAGAGGAUUGAAGGCGGAGGAAGAAAAUUCUUGAGGUCAUUGUAGCAAAUUGUGCAUGCUAUAAAACUGAAUCUUCUAUUUAUUGGAGAUUUUCAUUAUUUUGGAAUUCUUAUGCCUGAAAAGAUUUUUUUUGUUGAAAACAUUACUAUAUGUUCACAAUUCUUAUAUGUUGAAAAGACUAUUGGAGGGGAGAUGGUGGGAAGAUUGAAAGGGAAAGGAGAAGAUAUGGAGAAGUAGGGAAACUGUUGUUGUGCAGUUAGUGUGUAACCAUGUAAUUAGAAGUUGUUUUCCCAUGUUGGUGUAUGUGUGCUUGUUUUUUAUUUUUUAAUUUUUGAAUAAAUUAGUUAGGUCAUAUGCCUGUUUUUCAGUUUUUUUUUGUUUCUUAGAGGAUUUGUUGUAAUUUGCAUAAAGUAGUGAGGGUAAAACGGGAUUCUAAUAUUUUGGUGUCCCCCCUCUCUUCCCAUAUAGAAUAGAGAUUAUUGUUAUUAUUAUUAUUAUUAUUAUUAUUAUUAUUAUUAUUAUUAUUA